rnacentral:rRNA from 1 species
GACGAACGCUAGCGGGAGGCCUAACACAUGCAAGCCGAGCGGUAUUGUUUCUUCGGAAAUGAGAGAGCGGCGUACGGGUGCGGAACACGUGUGCAACCUGCCUUUAUCUGGGGGAUAGCCUUUCGAAAGGAAGAUUAAUACUCCAUAACAUAUUGAACGGCAUCGUUUGAUAUUGAAAGCUCCGGCGGAUAGAGAUGGGCACGCGCAAGAUUAGCUAGUUGGUGAGGUAACGGCUCACCAAGGCGAUGAUCGUUAGGGGGCCUGAGAGGGUCAGCCCCCACACUGGUACUGAGACACGGACCAGAAUCCUACGGGAGGCAGCAGUGAGGAAUAUUGGUCAAUGGGUGCAAGCCUGAACCAGCCAUCCCGCGUGAAGGACGACUGCCCUAUGGGUUGUAAACUUCUUUUGUAUAGGGAUAAACCUACUCUCGUGAGGGUAGCUGAAGGUACUAUACGAAUAAGCACCGGCUAACUCCGUGCCAGCAGCCGCAGUAAAAC